ACAGAGGGGCUCCGGCUCCGUGCCGGCGUGCACACCGCGCCUUGCCUCCUGGGCCUGUCCUGCCCCGGCGCUCCCUCCGGCGGAGGCCUCUGCCUCUUUGAGAAGCGGGGCGGGACGCGGGAGCAGGCGCUGAGGAGAGGCGGGAGUUCCGUAGGCAGCGGCACCGGCAGCGGCACCCUGGCCUGCAGGGCCCCAGGCCUCCCAGGCCUGCAGCUUGGAGGUAAGAUGCUUCACAGGUGAGCUGAAGUGGACCUAGGUAAAAUGAAACCAGGAAAUGGAAAAGAAUCCAAGAGCCCUCCGGAUCAAGAGGUGAAUCUUCUACUGGGUUUUCUUCUUUUCAGCCUCAGUGUUUAAAAGUUAUUUGUAGCUAACUGAAGACACAGGACAAACAAAAUAGGAACCUCUUCCUAAACAUGCCCAGGUUUUCC